UGUGGGAGCUGGCUUGCCUGCGAUGUAAACGCUGCGGUUUGUCAGAAAACCGCAUUGAUGCCAUCGCGAGCAAGCCCGCUCCCACA
rnacentral:antisense_RNA from 1 species